AAUGGAAUGAAUCUUAUGUCUGAGUGGCUGCUUUCCUUCAAUGUGCCUCAAAUUGAUGGGAAAUACAGGUGGUUCAAACUGAGUUUUACUUUUGCUCAGAAACAGAUUCAGACGCCAGCAAUUACAAAUCGUAAACACAUUUGGAGUUCAAUUCUGCCUUGUCUAAGAUGUAUUACAUCUCUCACUCUAUGACAGCUGAGACAGGCUCCAGCUCUACAGCGACCCUGAACAGGAUGAAUCUGCCAUAAUAAAUGCAAAGAUGGAUGGGAAAAGGUUUCUUUUUUCAAGGUCAUUUUAAAGGAGUGUUUUAUUGUGAUUGUUUUUGCAUGCUCCUCUGCUUGUUUUCCGUCCCUUAUCUUUUUUCCCUGUUUGCACACCCUCAACUCUUCUCCUCGUGCUUCUUUCCCUUUUCUCCAGACAUGCAACCAGAGAAAUGAGGACGAAGAAGAAGACUGACACAAGGCCCCAGCUGUGGACACUCACCUCAUCACCUAUCAGUCUUCUUAAGGAGAACCAGCUCCAGCAUUCGUCACCAGUUCGUUGCCCUUUAAGGACUCAUCACCACGAGUGUCCACCUGGGUCUUUCCUUCUCAUGAGCAGUCUGGUUCUCGUCUGCAAUCAUAAUCCUAGCCUCCAGCAACGCCAUGACUCCAGCCAAGUCAAGAUUCCCAAGCCACGCUACAACUCCAAGCCAUUACUCAUGGUCGCCAUGCCAGUAUCAUCUCGCUAUCGGACAAUCUCCAAUAUACUCACCCUUGGAUCCUCGUCCAGGAGAAUAAAUUCAAAAUUUAUUCGCCAUCUAACUCUCCUGUGUUUCUUUCAGAGUUCCAGCGCCUGGGUCUUUCCCGCCAAGCAGAUCAUGACACGAAGUGUGUAUUAUCAAAAAUGAACGCACUUUGUGGAAGCAACCGUCCGACACGAAGCAGAGGAUGGUUCAGGCUCCCAUGGCGUGCGUUCAUUUCUGAUGAUGCGCACUUCGAAGGCCAUUAUCCUUAACUUCUCCCACUCGUUUUCAGGCAAUAAAUCAAAUUCUACUUGACUUUGGUUAAUAUUCACUAUAUUUAAUUAAUCUAAUGUGACUUAAGUGUAUGCAUCACUACAAAAAUCUUUACUUAUGAUUAUGCAUUAUUACACUUAUUUUCUUCUCAUAUUUGCUGAAUUUUUCUUUGUUCUGUUUUUUAUUAAUGCUUUUUUGUUAUUUCUGAUAUGAGUAUGAUUCAUCUUGUGGGAAUUUUGUCAACAAGAAAUGAUUGAAAUGAACUAGUGAAUCAAAUAAAAUCAAUAACAAAAAACACGUUCUUUCAAAUGAAAGAAUCUGGAAAAAAAUGUAAUUCAUAUUCCAAAUAAUACAGUAACAUUUCAGAAACGCUAACUUCUUCUGCCAGCAAAUGAAAGUUAUUUAGAAGCAUGAUCAAUCAGAAAAGUGCAGGAAAUUAACCUCUGAGCAUUCUGCACACCCAAACUUUGCCGCAGCCCAUAAAAAUAAAAAAAAUGACCAAAAUAUUUCGAUCUCAGUGGACAUUCAAUGUCACACUCCCUUAAACAGCAUGGAAUUUCAGAGCAAUGAAUGAAGCAGUUUGCACCUGGAAUUUUUUCUUGAGCAUCAUAUCACUCCACAUUCCCACAGCAACCCUCUCAGGCCAGUGCUCUCGCUUUUUUCUUCUUCAGUCAGGCACUUCAAACACAAAUGACACAAGCAUAUGAACACACACUCCGCAUUUAACCUCAAAUGAACACAACAAAGAGAGAAAGACAAAGGGAAGAUCUGCAUAAUGCAGGAUCUGUUUCUAUUAUAGGUCUCAGCAUUCCCUUAGUCAUACUUUGAUACAAAAGGCUAUUUUGUUUUCCCCUCUUAAAACAACUUGCAGAGGGGAUGCAUUUGAUUUUUGUUCUUUUCCUCCGUUUAUUAGGGAGCAAUUAGCUACACAAACACAACCCCUAAAUGUACAACAGUGGGUGUCGGGGAGACUCAGAAGCCGCUACCAACUUUGUUAAAUUUGUGCUGACAUUGAAGCCAGUUGGUCCUCCCCUGGAGCGGGCUUUUCACCUCUCCAUUCUGGUUGUUCAGUGCAUAUAGCUGUAAUGUGAGAUAAUUUAUAAUGCCACCAGACAAGAAACAAACAGGCUCAGCAUGCAACAAGCAGCACUGUGCCUUUAAGGCCUGCACCAUCAUUUAUUUAUCACUCUAAUCACAAAAGAUUUAAAUGUGAAAGUGUGACAGAAGACACAGAGAAAGGGGUUGAAGUUUUUAAAAUAAAAUAAACACCAUGUCGUUGACCAUUUUAUUCUCUACAGUUUCAACAUUUAGGUUUUAUUUAUUAUUAA